rnacentral:rRNA from 1 species
AAGGUUGACCUCGGAUCAGGUAGGGAUACCCGCUGAACUUAAGCAUAUCAAUAAGGCGGA